GACGAACGCUGGCGGCGUGCUUAACACAUGCCAGUCGAACGGAAAGGCCCUGCUUUUGUGGGGUGCUCGAGUGGCGAACGGGUGAGUAACACGUGAGUAACCUGCCCUUGACUUUGGGAUAACUUCAGGAAACUGGGGCUAAUACCGGAUAGGAGCUCCUGCUGCAUGGUGGGGGUUGGAAAGUUUCGGCGGUUGGGGAUGGACUCGCGGCUUAUCAGCUUGUUGGUGGGGUAGUGGCUUACCAAGGCUUUGACGGGUAGCCGGCCUGAGAGGGUGACCGGCCACAUUGGGACUGAGAUAGGGCCCAGACUCCAACGGGAGGCAGCAGUGGGGAAUAUUGCACAAUGGGCGGAAGCCUGAUGCAGCAACGCCGCGUGCGGGAUGACGGCCUUCGGGUUGUAAACCGCUUUCGCCUGUGACGAAGCGUGAGUGACGGUAAUGGGUAAAGAAGCACCGGCUAACUACGUG
rnacentral:rRNA from 1 species